rnacentral:rRNA from 1 species
ACGAACGCUGGCGGCAGGCUUAACACAUGCAAGUCGAAGGUGAAGCGGGGCUUCGGUCCCGUGGAAACUGGCGCACGGGUGAGUAACGCGUGGGAAUCUACCCCGGGGUGGGGAAUAACCAUUGGAAACGAUGGCUAAUACCGCAUACGCCUUAAGAGGGAAAGCUAUAUGCGCCCUGGGAUGAGCCCGCGUCGGAUUAGGUAGUUGGUGGGGUAACGGCCUACCAAGCCAACGAUCCGUAGCUGGUCUGAGAGGAUGAUCAGCCACACUGGGACUGAGACACGGCCCAGACUCCUACGGGAGGCAGCAGUGGGGAAUAUUGGACAAUGGGGGAAACCCUGAUCCAGCCAUGCCGCGUGCGUGAAGAAGGCCUUAGGGUUGUAAAGCGCUUUCGGCGGGGAAGAUGAUGACGGUACCCGCAGAAGAAGCCCCGGCUAACUCCGU